rnacentral:rRNA from 1 species
UACGAAGGGGGCUAGCGUUGCUCGGAAUGACUGGGCGUAAAGGGCGCGUAGGCGGAUGGUACAGUCAGAUGUGAAAUUCCUGGGCUCAACCUGGGGGCUGCAUUUGAUACGUGCUGUCUUGAGUUCGGAAGAGGGUCGUGGAAUUCCCAGUGUAGAGGUGAAAUUCGUAGAUAUUGGGAAGAACACCGGCGGCGAAGGCGGCGACCUGGUCCGAUACUGACGCUGAGGCGCGAAAGCGUGGGGAGCAAACAGG